ACUUAAAUUGAAGAGUUUGAUCAUGGCUCAGAUUGAACGCUGGCGGCAGGCCUAACACAUGCAAGUCGAACGGUAGCACAGAGAGCUUGCUCUCGGGUGACGAGUGGCGGACGGGUGAGUAAUGUCUGGGAAACUGCCUGAUGGAGAGGGAUAACUACUGGAAACGGUAGCUAAUACCGCAUAACGUCGCAAGACCAAAGAGGGGGACCUUCGGGCCUCUUGCCAUCAGAUGUGCCCAGAUGGGAUUAGCUAGUAGGUGGGGUAACGGCUCACCUAGGCGACGAUCCCUAGCUGGUCUGAGAGGAUGACCAGCCACACUGGAACUGAGACACGGUCCAGACUCCUACGGGAGGCAGCAGUGGGGAAUAUUGCACAAUGGGCGCAAGCCUGAUGCAGCCAUGCCGCGUGUAUGAAGAAGGCCUUCGGGUUGUAAAGUACUUUCAGCGGGGAGGAAGGUGUUGUGGUUAAUAACCGCAGCAAUUGACGUUACCCGCAGAAGAAGCACCGGCUAACUCCGUGCCAGCAGCCGCGGUAAUACGGAGGGUGCAAGCGUUAAUCGGAAUUACUGGGCGUAAAGCGCACGCAGGCGGUCUGUCAAGUCGGAUGUGAAAUCCCCGGGCUCAACCUGGGAACUGCAUUCGAAACUGGCAGGCUAGAGUCUUGUAGAGGGGGGUAGAAUUCCAGGUGUAGCGGUGAAAUGCGUAGAGAUCUGGAGGAAUACCGGUGGCGAAGGCGGCCCCCUGGACAAAGACUGACGCUCAGGUGCGAAAGCGUGGGGAGCAAACAGGAUUAGAUACCCUGGUAGUCCACGCCGUAAACGAUGUCGACUUGGAGGUUGUGCCCUUGAGGCGUGGCUUCCGGAGCUAACGCGUUAAGUCGACCGCCUGGGGAGUACGGCCGCAAGGUUAAAACUCAAAUGAAUUGACGGGGGCCCGCACAAGCGGUGGAGCAUGUGGUUUAAUUCGAUGCAACGCGAAGAACCUUACCUACUCUUGACAUCCAGAGAACUUUCCAGAGAUGGAUUGGUGCCUUCGGGAACUCUGAGACAGGUGCUGCAUGGCUGUCGUCAGCUCGUGUUGUGAAAUGUUGGGUUAAGUCCCGCAACGAGCGCAACCCUUAUCCUUUGUUGCCAGCGGUUAGGCCGGGAACUCAAAGGAGACUGCCAGUGAUAAACUGGAGGAAGGUGGGGAUGACGUCAAGUCAUCAUGGCCCUUACGAGUAGGGCUACACACGUGCUACAAUGGCGCAUACAAAGAGAAGCGACCUCGCGAGAGCAAGCGGACCUCAUAAAGUGCGUCGUAGUCCGGAUUGGAGUCUGCAACUCGACUCCAUGAAGUCGGAAUCGCUAGUAAUCGUAGAUCAGAAUGCUACGGUGAAUACGUUCCCGGGCCUUGUACACACCGCCCGUCACACCAUGGGAGUGGGUUGCAAAAGAAGUAGGUAGCUUAACCUUCGGGAGGGCGCUUACCACUUUGUGAUUCAUGACUGGGGUGAAGUCGUAACAAGGUAACCGUAGGGGAACCUGCGGUUGGAUCACCUCCUUACCUUAAAGAA
rnacentral:rRNA from 1 species